rnacentral:rRNA from 1 species
GUAGUUAGCCGGGGCUUCCUCCUUGGCUACCGUCACUUUCUUCGUCACCAAGGACAGAGGUUUACAAUCCGAAGACCUUCUUCCCUCACGCGGCGUUGCUGGGUCAGGCUUGCGCCCAUUGCCCAAUAUUCCCCACUGCUGCCUCCCGUAGGAGUCUGGACCGUGUCUCAGUUCCAGUGUGGCCGAUCAGCCUCUCAGCUCGGCUACCCAUCGUUGGCUAGGUGGGCCGUUACCCCGCCUACUACCUAAUGGGACGCGAACCCCUCCUUCUGCGGAUUGCUCCUUUGACCCCUGAGCCAUGCGACUCUGUGGUCUUAUGCGGUAUUAGCACUUGUUUCCAGGUGUUAUCCCCCUCAAAAGGGCAGGUUGUUCACGCGUUACUCACCCGUUCGCCACUAGCUAUAAAUCCGAAAACCUAUAGCCCGUUCGACUUGCAUGUGUUAGGCACGCCGCCAGCGUUCGUCCUGAGCACGAUACAACUACUGA